rnacentral:rRNA from 1 species
AUUGAACGCUGGCGGCAGGCUUAAUACAUGCAAGUCGAACGGUAACAGCAGAAAAGCUUGUUUUUUUGGCUGACGAGUGGCGGACGGGUGAGUAAUACCUAGGAAACUGCCUAAACGAGGGGGAUAACAUUUGGAAACGAGUGCUAAUACCGCAUAAUACUGAGAAGUUGAAAGUUCCGGCGGUUUGAGAUGGACAUGCGUUGUAUUAGCUAGUUGGUGAGGUAACGGCUCACCAAGGCGACGAUACAUAGGGGGACUGAGAGGUUAACCCCCCACACUGGUACUGAGACACGGACCAGACUCCUACGGGAGGCAGCAGUGAGGAAUAUUGGUCAAUGGACGCAAGUCUGAACCAGCCAUGCCGCGUGAGGGAUGACGGUCCUAUGGAUUGUAAACCUCUUUUGUCGGGGAGCAAGAUUUCUACGUGUAGAGAAGUGAGAGUACCCGAAGAAAAGCAUCGGCUAACUCCGUG